UUGUAAAGAGCUGCUAGUAGGUUCGCUUAAACCACGAGCUUAACCAAGAAUAUGUUAUACCAAGUUGCUGAUUCAAUCAGUGCUGUUUUUACACCGCUUUUGGCCAACUCAGAAUAAUUUAGAUUGUUCUUUUAACAAGAAAGGCUUUCUAUCUCUUUUAAAGUGAGUCACUUUAUCAGCUGGCAGAAGUGAAUGGCGCUUUGAGAGUAGUCUUUCCGUCUGAAGAUGUAGGACUUCCUGCCACGAGUUCUCCAGAGGUCUUUGCAUUAUAUUUAUAACUGAUAGAAAAUUAUAUUUAGAAUUUUUAAACAUGUACAAAGGGCUACAUUUUACUUUUAAAAUAGCUUCACGUUAUUUUACUUAGAUUGAGUUUUUCUUCUUUUGGACCCUUGUCAAGUGGAACAGCUUAGGUGACGUGCACGCUUGAACUCCUCUCCGUGGUCUUUGUUCCUUUCCUAGUGCACGGCGGAGGGCUAGUGGGGAAAUCUUCAUUCUCAGGAAAAGACUUGAAUGAUAUGUGACCCUGUUAUGUUUCAGUGUUGUGACAACUGUGUGGACUUAGGGAGAAAGACAGUAUUUAUCAUAAAUGAGAUGCGUAGUAUGUUUUCUUUCAUGGGAAGUAGAGACUAAAAUAUAUCCAUUUCUCUAAUUGAGUUGUUUAGAGAAAUUACUAAUAUCUUAUAUGAUGUAUUUACUUAUUUUAAAAAAAGAGAAGGAGAUGCCCUGAACUGUACUUUUCUGUUGUUACAGCAGUACACAUCUGGGUUAUCAACAUGUUCUCAAAUGCUGUCAAUAUUUUACUGUAAUUUAUGUUCUUAUAUUUAUGUAUAUUGGUUAAAACUGUAAAAAAAAAAAUUCACAGAUUUUUUUCCAAUACUUUGCAAGAUAUAUGUGUAGCUCAAAACUAUUUGUGAUCUACUGUUUGCAUGUAAGAGACCAGGAUAUGUAACUCUUAUAUUUUAAGUGUAUACAUACUGUGUAUAUAAUAUAUGAAUAUUAAAAAUGGGAAAUUGCACAUUUUACCUUUCAGACAAGUUUCUAUUACAGCUAGAAGGAAAUGAUUGUCAAAUACAUGUUUAGAUUAAGACUAGUUUAAAAAAGUAGUAAAUGAAUCUAACCAAAUGAGGUAAAUAAGAGUCAAAGGAGAAUUAAUAAGCAUUUCACAUUACUAAAUUUGUUCUUUUCAACCAAUUAAAUUCCCCUUAUCAAAGCAGUCUUCUUCAUGAUACUACUUGGCCAUUCAGUUUUUAAAAAUUGAGUGCAAGACAACGGAGGGAAGUAUUUAAAACUAAACAGGACUACCUUUUAUUCUGAAAUUAGGCGUGUCCAACCGUGAAUGUCCAUAGUGUCUGGAGGCGGAAUGUGAGUGUUGCCACACAAGUUCAUUGCUCGCAGUGGAAUAUUUUACUUCACUCAUGCAGAAGGAAUAUGGGUAUAUUUCUUUAAGUCUGCAGGGUUUUUUAAAUUAUGGUGCAGCUUUUUUUUGUUUUUUGAAUUAUGUUUUAAAAACUAUACAGAUGAAAAUUAUGCCAUUUCGUAAAGUCUGGAGGUUUUCAUAAACCUUAUUGAAACACACUGGUGCUCUCACAUUGAAGGUCAAAUUAGGACAAUAAUUCUGCACUGAAGUUUGCCAAACGCUUCUCACAGUUGCCGGUGCAGCCUGUCAAGUUCUGCCGCUCGACACAGCUUUGGGAAGCUCUCAACUCCUCCCGGCCUUUCAGGGUUGUUUUAGAAUGACUGUUACAGUGUUUAUUUGGCUGUUUAAAGCCGAAUUCUGCUUUUUAAUUAUGGUUUCCUGGACACUGUGGGGCAAUGUACGGCAUAUGGUGUGUUCACCUGUCCACUCGAGCGCGUUGCGUACAGGUUUUCAAGAUGCUGUGCUAUAAAGGCGGUCAUGUUUGCUAUUUCCUGGCACACUGUAGUUCCCCUUUCAUUUCAAUAAAAG
rnacentral:lncRNA from 1 species